GUAGUUGGAGGUGUGGAAGAAGGUGCUGUGUGUGGGUGGGGGUAGUUGGAGGUGUGGAAGAAGGUGCUGUGUGUGGGUGGGGGUAGUGGGUGGUGUGGAAGAAGGUGCUGUGUGUGGGUGGGGGUAGUGGGUGGUGUGGAAGAAGGUGCUGUGUGUGGGUGGGGGUAGUGAGUGGUGUGGAAGAAGGUGCUGUUUGUGGGUGCGUGUCUGUGCAUGCGUCUGUGUGUGUAGGUGUGUGUGUGCGUGUCACUGCAUGCGUCUGUGUCUGUGUAGGUGUGUGUGUGUGUUUGCUUAGGGAGGGUAGGGGAAGGAUUUCCCCCUGUCUCCCAUAUCCCAAGUUCAAUGUCAG
ensembl:lncRNA